CGCAUACAUAAUGACAAAAAAUACGCUUAUGUAAGAGGAACAGUUGGCCGAGUGGCUGGAGCCUUGUGCCUUGUGCCUUGUGCUACGGUGCCGCACGCCAUCUGUUCAAUACCCGGCGGAUUACUUGCUGUAAUUAGCAAACACAGUCAAUUAAGACAGGGAAAGUCCAUCUUGAUUAGCUUUGCUUAGAGAGAUUUCCUGGGCAAGGAAGAAGAGUGCGUAGUGAGAAUAACGACAUAUGGUGCAUUAUUUAAACUGAUAAAAUACGCAUACAUAAUGACAAAAAAUACGCUUAUCUAAGAGGAACAGUUGGCCGAGUGGCUGGAGCCUUGUGCCUUGUGCCUUGUGCUACGGUGCCGCACGCCAUCUGUUCAAUACCCGGGUAAGACUUUUUUUAUUUUUUAUUUUUAACGAAGUUUUAUGAAGUAGGAAAAUAUUAUAUACAAGAUUUAGUAAGUUUAAUUUAAAAAAUUUCUAUUCUUAACGCAAUUUUUUUUGUGAGAGUUUUAACAGAUCCAUUUAAGUGAUUUUACUAUUGUUUGUUUUUCUCAUUAUUUAGCGGAUUACUUGCUGUAAUUAGCAAACACAGUCAAUUAAGACAGGGCAAGUCCAUCUUGAUUAGCUUUGCUUAGAGAGAUUUCCUGGGCAAGGAAGAAGAGUGCGUAGUGAGAAUAACCACAUAUGGUGCAUUAUUUAAACUGAUAAAAUACGCAUACAUAAUGACAAAAAAAACGCUUAUCUAAGAGGAACAGUUGGCCGAGUGGCUGGAGCCUUGUGCCUUGUGCCUUGUGCUACGGUGCCGCACGCCAUCUGUUCAAUACCCGGCGGAUUACUUGCUGUAAUUAGCAAACACAGUCAAUUAAGACAGGGCAAGUCCAUCUUGAUUAGCUUUGCUUAGAGAGAUUUCCUGGGCAAGGAAGAAGAGUGCGUAGUGAGAAUAACCACAUAUGGUGCAUUAUUUAAACUGAUAAAAUACGCAUACAUAAUGACAAAAAAAACGCUUAUCUAAGAGGAACAGUUGGCCGAGUGGCUGGAGCCUUGUGCCUUGUGCCUUGUGCUACGGUGCCGCACGCCAUCUGUUCAAUACCCGGCGGAUUACUUGCUGUAAUUAGCACACACAGUCAAUUAAGACAGGGCAAGUCCAUCUUGAUUAGCUUUGCUUAGAGAGAUUUCCUGGGCAAGGAAGAAGAGUGCGUUGUGAGAAUAACGACAUAUGGUGCAUUAUUUAAACUGAUAAAAUACGCAUACAUAAUGACAAAAAAAACGCUUAUGUAAGAGGAACAGUUGGCCGAGUGGCUGGAGCCUUGUGCCUUGUGCCUUGUGCUACGGUGCCGCACGCCAUCUGUUCAAUACCCGGCGGAUUACUUGCUGUAAUUAGCAAACACAGUCAAUUAAGACAGGGCAAGUCCAUCUUGAUUAGCUUUGCUUAGAGAGAUUUCCUGGGCAAGGAAGAAGAGUGCGUAGUGAGAAUAACCACAUAUGGUGCAUUAUUUAAACUGAUAAAAUACGCAUACAUAAUGACAAAAAAAACGCUUAUCUAAGAGGAACAGUUGGCCGAGUGGCUGGAGCCUUGUGCCUUGUGCCUUGUGCUACGGUGCCGCACGCCAUCUGUUCAAUACCCGGCGGAUUACUUGCUGUAAUUAGCACACACAGUCAAUUAAGACAGGGCAAGUCCAUCUUGAUUAGCUUUGCUUAGAGAGAUUUCCUGGGCAAGGAAGAAGAGUGCGUAGUGAGAAUAACCACAUAUGGUGCAUUAUUUAAACUGAUAAAAUUCGCAUACAUAAUGACAAAAAAACGCUUAUCUAAGAGGAACAGUUGGCCGAGUGGCUGGAGCCUUGUGCCUUGUGCCUUGUGCUACGGUGCCGCACGCCAUCUGUUCAAUACCCGGGUAAGACUUUUUUUAUUUUUAAUUUUUAAGGAAGUUUUAUGAAGUAGGAAAAUACUAUAUACAAGAUUUAGUAAGUUUAAUUUAAAAAAUUUCUAUUCUAAACGCAAUUUUUUUUGUGAGAGUUUUAACAGAUCCAUUUAAGUGAUUUUACUAUUGUUUGUUUUUCUCAUUAUUUAGCGGAUUACUUGCUGUAAUUAGCAAACACAGUCAAUUAAGACAGGGAAAGUCCAUCUUGAUUAGCUUUGCUUAGAGAGAUUUCCUGGGCAAGGAAGAAGAGUGCGUAGUGAGAAUAACGACAUAUGGUGCAUUAUUUAAACUGAUAAAAUACGCAUACAUAAUGACAAAAAAUACGCUUAUGUAAGAGGAACAGUUGGCCGAGUGGCUGGAGCCUUGUGCCUUGUGCCUUGUGCUACGGUGCCGCACGCCAUCUGUUCAAUACCCGGGUAAGACUUUUUUUAUUUUUAAUUUUUAAGGAAGUUUUAUGAAGUAGGAAAAUAUUAUAUACAAGAUUUAGUAAGUUUAAUUUAAAAAAUUUCUAUUCUUAACGCAAUUUUUUUUGUGAGAGUUUUAACAGAUCCAUUUAAGUGAUUUUACUAUUGUUUGUUUUUCUCAUUAUUUAGCGGAUUACUUGCUGUAAUUAGCAAACACAGUCAAUUAAGACAGGGCAAGUCCAUCUUGAUUAGCUUUGCUUAGAGAGAUUUCCUGGGCAAGGAAGAAGAGUGCGUAGUGAGAAUAACCACAUAUGGUGCAUUAUUUAAACUGAUAAAAUACGCAUACAUAAUGACAAAAAAAACGCUUAUCUAAGAGGAACAGUUGGCCGAGUGGCUGGAGCCUUGUGCCUUGUGCCUUGUGCUACGGUGCCGCACGCCAUCUGUUCAAUACCCGGCGGAUUACUUGCUGUAAUUAGCACACACAGUCAAUUAAGACAGGGCAAGUCCAUCUUGAUUAGCUUUGCUUAGAGAGAUUUCCUGGGCAAGGAAGAAGAGUGCGUAGUGAGAAUAACCAUAUAUGGUGCAUUAUUUAAACUGAUAAAAUACGCAUACAUAAUGACAAAAAAAACGCUUAUCUAAGAGGAACAGUUGGCCGAGUGGCUGGAGCCUUGUGCCUUGUGCCUUGUGCUACGGUGCCGCACGCCAUCUGUUCAAUACCCGGCGGAUUACUUGCUGUAAUUAGCACACUUAGUCAAUUAAGACAGGGCAAGUCCAUCUUGAUUAGCUUUGCUUAGAGAGAUUUCCUGGGCAAGGAAGAAGAGUGCGUAGUGAGAAUAACCACAUAUGGUGCAUUAUUUAAACUGAUAAAAUACGCAUACAUAAUGACAAAAAAAACGCUUAUCUAAGAGGAACAGUUGGCCGAGUGGCUGGAGCCUUGUGCCUUGUGUCUUGUGCUACGGUGCCGCACGCCUUCUGUUCAAUACCCAGGUAAGCGUUUUUUUUUUUUUAAGGAAGUUUUCUGAAGUUGGAAAAUAUUAUAUACAUGAUUUUGUCAAUUUAAUAAACAGAUUUUCCUGUUCUAGACGCAAUUUUUUUUUCUGUGCAAGUUUUAAAAGAUCCAUUUAACUUUUGUUUGUUUUCCUCAUUCUUUAGCGGAUUACUUGCUGUAAUUCGCACAUACAGUCAAUCAAGACAGGGCAAGACCAUCUUGAUUGAAUUUGCAUAGAGAGAUUACCUUGGCAAGGAAUAAGUUUGAGUAUAGUGAGAAUAACCAUAUUUUGUCCGUUAUAGACUAAACUGAUUAAAAUACGCAUAUAUAAUGACCAAAAAUUCGCUUAACUAAGAGGAA